rnacentral:lncRNA from 1 species
CCGGCCCCCACCCCCCUCACCUGGCUCCUUCCCUCCCAUUGGCUCCUUCCCCCCUAUUGACCCCGCCCCCUUGGCCUGGCUCCUCCCCCUCCCUCCGAUCCCUCCCCUCCCAUUGGCUCCUCCCUUCCCCUGGCCCCGCCCCCAAGCGGCCCCGCCCCCCCGGGGGCGCCCGUCCUUGUCGGCCGGCCCGGCGGGGAAGGGGUGACCGAGAGGCGGAGGAAGGGAUCCUCGGCCACGAUGACGAGGAAGAAGACGACGAGGAGGAAGAGCGAGAGGUGGAGGGAAUAGAGGAGGAGGAAGAGGAGGCCGAGGAGAUAGCGGAAGAGGAGGAAGAGGCCGAGGACAUAGAGGAGGAGGAGGAGGAAGGUGAGGAAAUAGCGGAGGAGGAGGAGGAAGAGGCCGAGGACAUAGAGGAGGAGGAAGGUGAGGAAAUAGCGGAGGAGGAG